rnacentral:rRNA from 1 species
AGAGACAGCAGCCGCCGCGGUAAUACGGAGGGGGCUAGCGUUGUUCGGAAUUACUGGGCGUAAAGCGCACGUAGGCGGCUUGGUAAGUUAGAGGUGAAAGCCCAGGGCUCAACCCUGGAAUUGCCUUUAAGACUGCCGAGCUAGUAGGUGAGAGAGGUAAGUGGAAUUCCGAGUGUAGAGGUGAAAUUCGUAGAUAUUCGGAAGAACACCAGUGGCGAAGGCGGCUUACUGGCUCAUUCUAGACGCUGAGGUGCGAAAGCGUGGGGAGCAAACAGGAUUAGAUACCCCUGUAGUCCCUGUCUCUUAUAC